CCGGCAAACGGGUGCGGAACACGUACGCAACCUUCCUUUAACUGGAGAAUAGCCCCUCGAAAGAGGGAUUAAUACUCCGUAACAUAUUGAAAAGGCAUCUUUUUAAUAUUAUAGCUCCGGCGGUUAAAGAUGGGCGUGCGCCUGAUUAGAUAGUUGGCGGGGUAACGGCCCACCAAGUCUGCGAUCAGUAACUGGUGUGAGAGCACGACCAGUCGCACGGGCACUGAGACACGGGCCCG
rnacentral:rRNA from 1 species